AGCAGCCGCGGUAAUUCCAGCUCCAAUAGCGUAUAUUAAAGUUGUUGCAGUUAAAAAGCUCGUAGUUGAAUUUCGGGGUUAGUAGGUGGUCCAUGCCUCUGGUAUGUACUGGUCUCACUGAUUCCUCCUUCCUGAUGAGCCGUAAUGCCAUUAAUUUGGUGUUGCGGGGAAUUUGGACUGUUACUUUGAAAAAAUUAGAGUGUUUAAAGCAAGCUAACGCUUGAAUACAUUAGCAUGGAAUAAUGAAAUAGGACGUUCGAUCCUAUUUUGUUGGUUUCUAGGAUUGACGUAAUGAUUAAUAGGGAUAGUUGGGGGCAUUAGUAUUCAAUUGUCAGAGGUGAAAUUCUUGGAUUUAUUGAAGACUAACUACUGCGAAAGCAUUUGCCAAGGAUGUUUUCAUUAAUCAAGAACGAAAGUUAGGGGAUCGAAGACGAUCAGAUACCGUCGUAGUCUUAACCAUAAACUAUGCCGACUAGGGAUCGGAUGAUGUUAAUUUUUUAAUGACUCA
rnacentral:rRNA from 1 species